CAGUGUUUUCCUGAUGAAAAUUUGGAAGCAAUGAAUUUUUUUUUUUGCAAAGCAAAUGUAAAUAUCUAUAUAUAUUUUUAAAUUCUACAUCUUAAAACAUUAGGAUUGUCCAAAGUGUGUGUUAUAUAAUUUUCUAGUAUUUAACUGAAGGGCCUAACCACUAGGGCUACAAAACACAUUUGGGGGCAAUUAUGAUGACUAACCCCUGUUUACUGUCCUUGCACCAAUUACAUGCAAGAACAGAACACUGGAUUCUGAAGAUUGCAAAUAAAAUAUUUCUUCAAAAUUGAAGAAACAUCUCUAAUACUUUUGGGUCCAAAGUUUUGAAUUUAAGCCUCAGUGCUCAUUGCUGAACUAAACAAUUCCAGAAAACAUAAUUUAAGAAAACAUCAGGCAGAGGAAAAUGUGGUUUUGUGCCAUAAUGUCUUGAAACAUUCAGUUAUGGUUUGAUGCUAUUCAAUGUUCAGUUGCAUAUUUGGAGGAGAAAUCAUUGCUAUUUUAAGGAAACACUACUUAAAACUAUGGAAAUUUAGUUGACUCUCAUGAAUGACAGCAGUUUUUACAGACUACUUAUUCAUCCAUUCAACUACUCAUUGAGUAUCUACAAUGUGUCAGAUACUGCCACUGUGUUGUUAUUCUUCCUGCUCUAGGUACUGACAUUUUUUGAGAUAGUCUGAUGAGGACAAAUAAAAUGCCACACCUUAAAAUCAUCAUUAAUAUGAACCCUGUGAAACACCACAAACCACUCAAAUGCAGGAAAGAGGUGGUAAACUGAGGCCCAGAGAGAUUAAGAAUUUCAGGCACACAUCUACUAAGUGACUCAAGAUUUAAACUCAG